UGGGGAAUUUUGCACAAUGGGGGAAACCCUGAUGCAGCGACGCCGCGUGAUUUAGAAGGCCUUCGGGUUGUAAAAAUCUUUUCUAUGGGAAGAAAAUGACAGUACCAUAGGAAUAAGGACCGGCUAAUUACGUGCCAGCAGCCGCGGUAAUACGUAAGGUCCGAGCGUUGUCCGGAAUCAUUGGGCGUAAAGGGUACGUAGGCGGGUAAGCAAGUUAGAAGUGAAAUCCUAUAGCUCAACUAUAGUAAGCUUUUAAAACUGCUCAUCUUGAGGUAUGGAAGGGAAAGUGGAAUUCCUAGUGUAGCGGUGAGAUGCGCAGAUAUUAAGAGGAAUACCGGUGGCGGAGGAGACUUUCUGGCCAUAACCUGACGCUGAGGUACGAAAGCGUGAGUAGCAAACAGG
rnacentral:rRNA from 1 species